rnacentral:rRNA from 1 species
UACGUAGGCAGCAAGCGUUGUUCGGAGUUACUGGGCGUAAAGGGCGCGUAGGCGGGCUGCCAAGUCUGGGGUGAAAUCCUCCCGCUCAACGGGAGAACGGCCCCGGGUACUGGCGGCCUCGAGGCGGGUAGGGGCGUGCGGAACACUGGGUGGAGCGGUGAAAUGCGUUGAUAUCCAGUGGAACUCCGGUGGCGAAGGCGGCACGCUGGACCCGAUCUGACGCUGAGGCGCGAAAGCCAGGGGAGCGAACGGG